UUGAACAGCUUUCUCUUUUCUUAUUUCUUGCCCCACUUUCUGCUUGUAAAAAGGCCUAGAGGUAAGCAGCCCUGGACUGUUGCAGCUACUCAAGAAGGUGUGGCCUUUGCUUCCUGGCACUCAGAUGGCAGCUGACCUCUAGGUAUGCAUCAUUCACAUCUGAGACAGGAAGGAGAGGGAAGGACCAAGGGGGUUCCCGUCAUUGGCUCAAGCUAUGGGAGAGGGCGUGUGAGACCCAGGCCUUCCGGAGGCUUCCAGAGUUAAAGCACUCCCACGGACAGGAGACAGAACUGCCUGUGGAGAAUUGCAUUAUAGCCAAGCGCCAGGAUAUAUAUUUAUCUGUGCCUGACAUUCUCAUCUCUUUUUAAAGGAAAAGCCACACAAUUGGCCAAAAGAUGAAGUGGAAAAAAUGUACUGUUGAACAAAUAUCCAGGAUGGUUGCUCAGAAUGUAUAAAAUGAUGAACUGUGUGGAAAAAUCAUGCCUGUGGCAAAUUGUCAGCAGGCUAUAUUUGGGGGUCCGAAUGCAGGGCCCCUGCCAACUGAGUUCACACAGCCUUAGUGUUUUUCCACUUCUAUUUAUAGCGAUGCACACAUUCACACACAAAAAAUGCAGGGGACAUUGGACUUCGUUUUUAAAUGAUGAAAAUGUUCGAAAUGUACCUGGUUUCAGCACGUGAGAGCCGCUCUGCUGUCUACGAUUAGCCUUGCUUACUGAAGAAGGGAUUAAUCAACGUGGGGAAAACAACGUAAUAGGAUCCUUUGGGAAUCUGAAAGUCUGAAAACAACUUUUUUCUCUAUUUCCUUUUUAAAAUGUAGAGGCAGAAUUUUGACAGUGUUUCUUGUGCAUUCUUCACCAUCAUUUGGAGCCACCACCUUGGCAACGUCUAUAGACAAGGAGAUGAGGGACUCUCAAAUCUACCCUUGAAGAGGAAGUGGCCCCAGAGUUCCGAUAAAAUCCUGC
rnacentral:lncRNA from 1 species